CCCAUACUGAAUCCAAAGGACAUCAACAAAGAACGCGUACACAUAGCUGAAACCAAAUGGAAAAGAAAAUCGCUUAUGUAAAAAGCCAGAGCAACGCAAUUCUUCCACCUUCGACAUCGCGUUUUCCACCUUCGUUCUCAAUCGAUUAUUUCGCGUUCAAACAUGAAGAACGCUCAAAACGCGCUGAUUCCAUAAGUUAGCAACAUCAACAUCGCGUGUUUUUUUCCUCCGCUCAUGAUUCGCGUUCAGAACUCAACCUCGUCGCUCAUGGAUUUUCCUUCACCAACAUCAUCUCAAUUCAAUGAUUUGAAACUUCAAUUCACGGAUUCAAAUUGCGUCCAACAACAAAUAUCAAAAUUGCAAUGGCGUCGACGCGAAAUCGAAAUAAAUUGUAGAUUGAAGUAAGAAGAAUGAAGAGUCGCCGGUUUCGACGCGACUUGUAAGAACAUUGCAGGGAUGUUUUGGAGUUACUCAUGCUUGCUUGUGUUGGAAAUGGUUUGAGGAAUUGCUUGCUAGGCAUAUGGAAUGGAGCUUGGAAUUGGCUUGGAGAUUGUUUUGGCAUGGAGAAUGGACUUAGCGUUUGUAAUUUUUUUGUAAAUUUGUGAAUUAAACAUUGUAAUGUACAUGUAAACCAUGGAUUUGUUGUAAUUGAAACAAUAUGAAUGGGAUUUGCCAAUUGAUGUUGAAAAUA